rnacentral:lncRNA from 10 species
UAACAUUUUAAAGUGACCAAGAUCUUUAAUCAUCUUGUUUUUCUGCUCUGUUCGCAUCUACUUGAAGUGCACAGUCAAUCCUAAAGGGAAAUGUUUUUGGCCUUACUUCUUAAGUUUAAGAUAAAUAACCUUAUUAUUUAUUUGGGAGGAGGAGAAUGGUGGUAAAUCUUUCCAUCAUAAGCAUAACAAGUGAACAACCAUAAGCGUCUUAGAAUGAAUGAGCUGUUUAAGCAGAAUGCAUAUCUUAAAGAAACAGCCUUUUAAGAAACACUUAUCAAAGAUGAAGCAGACAUGAAUCAUUAUGAAAAUUUAAAGUAAUAGUUACAAAAGGCCCCGUAAGGUUAUUUUAGAUUGGAUUUCAAAGUAAUUAGCAUAUUUAAACUUUCUUAAAGCCAUUUCUACCUCAGUAGGAUUUUUAAAUGUGAGAAAAUAAACUAUUGAAAAAAUAAAAUGUUAUAAGGAUCAUAAAUCAGUGUAUAAUUUGCAUAGUACAUUUUAAAUUGUGAAUCAUAUUAUAGCAUAUGACCCAUUAUUCAAAAUAUCAGGAGAGACCUCUAUAGUUGAAGAAAGUUUGGGAUUGUUUGUGCACUUCAGACACACACAUAAAUUCUCAGGAAUUUUAAUUACAUUCAUACUAUUGACAAGUGGUUAAAAGACUGAUAUGGGCUGGGCGCGGUGGCUUACGCAUGUAAUCCCAGCAUUUUGGGAGACUGAGGCUGGCUGAGGCCAGGAACGUGGCCUCAAAGACUUUGAGACAAGAAUGAGGUGGAUGUAUUUGAGGAAGAAAAGGAAGGCCAUUGGCUGGGCGCGGUGGCUCACGCCUGUAAUCCCAGCACUUUGGGAGGCCGAGGUGGGUGGAUCAUGAGGUCAGGAGUUCAAGGCCAGCCUGGCCAACAUGGUGAAACCCCAUCUCUACUAAAAAUACAAAAAUUAGCCGGGUGUGGUGGUGCACACCUGUAAUCCCAGCUAUUCAGGAGGCUGAGGCAGGAGAAUCACUUGAACUAUUAGGGAGGUGGAGGUUUCAGUGAGCUAGUAUCAUGCCACUGCACUCCAGCCUAGGUGACAGAGCGAGACUCCUUCUCAAAAAAAAAAAAAAAAAAGAAAAAGAAAGAAAAAAAAGAUAAACUGAUAUUAAUGAGAUAUCUUCAGAAGAUUCCUAAUUAAUAUCAGCUCUAUAUGGGCAAAAUAGAAACAGAGAAUGAGAAAAAAAUAAGAAAAUCAUAAUAGUGGUGACCCAAUCACUUAAUUGCUGUGGGAUUUUCAGCAUUUAUAUAUGGCCUGUAAGAGUAAUUAAAACAAAUUCCUUAAGAUUGCAUUUUCUAUCAAGGUUUAAUGCCUGGUGUCACCAUUCUAAGGCAAUGUAGGUACUGCAGAACCCAGAUGAGUAUGUGGUGAAGGGUUUAGUAAGAUUCUGAAGGAUAGAGAACAUCUCAAUUUGACCAAUAAUUUAGCUAACUGUUGUUUGACUAAAUUAGAUACUUUUAUCCUCAGUGAUAUGUCAGUUGGGUUUUGGUGGUACACAGAGGGAGAUUAUUAUUUGAGUAGCUCUGUAUUUGAUUUAAAAAUCGCCAGUAUUUUUAAAAAACUUUAGUACAUUACAUUAAACUCAAGACUUUAUGGAUACUCUUAAUAGUUUUGCUUACACAGUAGA